GUGGGGAAUCUUCCGCAAUGGACGAAAGUCUGACGGAGCGACGCCGCGUGAGUGAAGAAGGCCUUCGGGUCGUAAAGCUCUGUCAUCAGGGACGAACGGCCGGUGGAGUGGAAAGCCACCGGAUUGACGGUACCUGAGAAGGAAGCCACGGCUAACUACGUGCCAGCAGCCGCGGUAAUACGUAGGUGGCAAGCGUUGUCCGGAAUUAUUGGGCGUAAAGCGCGCGCAGGUGGGAUCUUAAGUCCAUUUUUAAAGUUCGGAGCUCAACUCCGUGAUGGGAUGGAAACUGGGAUUCUUGAGUACCGGAGAGGAAAGCGGAAUUCCCCGUGUAGCGGUGAAAUGCGUAGAUAUGGGGAGGAACACCAGUGGCGAAGGCGGCUUUCUGGACGGUGUCUGACACUGAGGCGCGAAAGCUAGGGGAGCGAACGGGAUUAGAAACCCUGGUAGUCC
rnacentral:rRNA from 1 species